UACGUAGGCAGCGAGCGUUGUUCGGAAUUACUGGGCGUAAAGAGUGUGUAGGCGGUGCUCCCAGUCUGUUGUGAAAUCUCCGGCUUAACUGGGAGGGUGCAGCGGAAACUAGAGUGCUAGAGGGUGGGAGAGGUAAGCGGAAUUCCUGGUGUAGCGGUGAAAUGCGUAGAUAUCAGGAGGAACACCUGUGGUGUAGACAGCUUACUGGACCACUUCUGACGCUGAGACACGAAAGCGUGGGUAGCAAACAGG
rnacentral:rRNA from 1 species